CCAAGGCAACGAUCAGUAGGGGUUCUGAGAGGAAGGUCCCCCACAUUGGAACUGAGACACGGUCCAAACUCCUACGGGAGGCAGCAGUGAGGAAUAUUGGUCAAUGGACGAGAGUCUGAACCAGCCAAGUAGCGUGCAGGAAGACGGCCCUAUGGGUUGUAAACUGCUUUUAUAAGGGAAUAAAGUGAGAGUCGUGACUCUUUUUGCAUGUACCUUAUGAAUAAGGACCGGCUAAUUCCGUGCCAGCAGCCGCGGUAAUACGGAAGGUCCGGGCGUUAUCCGGAUUUAUUGGGUUUAAAGGGAGCGUAGGCCGGAGAUUAAGCGUGUUGUGAAAUGUAGACGCUCAACGUCUGCACUGCAGCGCGAACUGGUUUCCUUGAGUACGCACAAAGUGGGCGGAAUUCGUGGUGUAGCGGUGAAAUGCUUAGAUAUCACGAAGAACUCCGAUUGCGAAGGCAGCUCACUGGAGCGCAACUGACGCUGAAGCUCGAAAGUGCGGGUAUCGAACAGGAUUAGAUACCCUGGUAGUCCGCACGGUAAACGAUGGAUGCCCGCUGUUGGUCUGAAUAGGUCAGCGGCCAAGCGAAAGCAUUAAGCAUCCCACCUGGGGAGUACGCCGGCAACGGUGAAACUCAAAGGAAUUGACGGGGGCCCGCACAAGCGGAGGAACAUGUGGUUUAAUUCGAUGAUACGCGAGGAACCUUACCCGGGCUUGAAUUGCAGAGGAAGGAUUUGGGGACAAUGACGCCCUUCGGGGCCUCUGUGAAGGUGCUGCAUGGUUGUCGUCAGCUCGUGCCGUGAGGUGUCGGCUUAAGUGCCAUAACGAGCGCAACCCCUCUCCUUAGUUGCCAUCAGGUUAAGCUGGGCACUAUGGGGACACUGCCACCGUAAGGUGUGAGGAAGGUGGGGAUGACGUCAAAUCAGCACGGCCCUUACGUCCGGGGCUACACACGUGUUACAAUGGCAGGUACAGAGAGACGGUCCCUUGCAAAACGGAUCAAAUCCUUAAAGCCUGUCUCAGUUCGGACUGGGGUCUGCAACCCGACCCCACGAAGCUGGAUUCGCUAGUAAUCGCGCAUCAGCCAUGGCGCGGUGAAUACGUUCCCGGGCCUUGUACACACCGCCCGUCAAGCCAUGAAAGCCGGGGGCGCCUAAAGUCCGUGACCGUAAGGAGCGGCCUAGGGCGAAACUGGUAAUUGGGGCUAAGUCGUGACAAGGUA
rnacentral:rRNA from 1 species